UACGGGAGGCAGCAGUCGGGAAUAUUGCGCAAUGGAGGAAACUCUGACGCAGUGACGCCGCGUAUAGGAUGAAGGUCUUCGGAUUGUAAACUAUUGUCGUUAGGGAAGAGAAAGGACAGUACCUAAGGAGGAAGCUCCGGCUAACUACGUGCCAGCAGCCGCGGUAAU
rnacentral:rRNA from 1 species